UCCCUUCCCCCACAUUCCUCCAGACAGCCAAUGCACAAUCCCAAAUUUAGGGUGGCAGGAGAGCUCAUACUGACUCCAAAAUCCAAUGGGGUGGGGAUGGAAAGAGAGAGAAGAUACCUGCCAAGGCUAGCCUAACAGGUUCUCCUAAGUCCCUCCCUUUGGCCUCAGACAAAGUGGGAAGAGAGAGAGAGAGAGAACUGGGAGAUGUGAGAGGAAGCACUUGGGAAAGGAAAAGAGGAACAACACCUGGAGCAAAGGGAAAGAGGUACCUGAAAGAUGUGAGCAAGAUGGAGACUGGAAACUGCCACUUAGUUUUGGUUUCCAAGAAGAGGAGUGAGCUGAGCACAAACCCAAGAGAAAGGAACUGAUAGCAACUAUGAUGAACUUUUAAGGGGAGAGAGAAACUACAAUUCAGAACCAAGAAAAUAUCCAGGAAUUGGGAAAUAAAACCACCUUGUUCUAGAUUGAGAGAGUCAAUUGCUUGGGGCCAGUGGCAAGAGCAGGGAUUUCUGGUUGAAGGUGAGAGAAAGCACCAAACUAUGACCCAGGAAACUAGGGUGUCAACAAGAAAUCUUCCUAAGGCUUUGAUUGAAGGUUGCAAUCUAUGGGAAUCAGGAAUUAGGGUUUCAGGGCAGAAAUCUCUUCUUUUGAAGGUGGGCCUAGACUUAUGAUUACAAUUGAGACUGGAAUUAAUGCUGUAAGUCAUGUUGCAAAGCGAGUCAUCAGAUGAUUGAACCAAUUUUAUAAUCAUUUUUUACUGUGGCUAUUAAACAAAUCCAGCUUUCACAAUUGAAGUUUUUUGUCGAAAUUGGAAAGGUCUUGAAUAGUGAUCAUAUGACUGCAAGACACUGCAAUUGGUCAUAAAAGUGAGAUGGUUGCCAAGCAUCUGAAUUGCAAUCAUGUGGUGUGAUGGUGUUAAGUGCAAGAGCAAGUUGUAAAUAAUUUUUUCCAGGGCUAUUUUACUUUGAAUUAUUGUUAAAUGAAUGGUCAUAAGUCAAGGACUAGCUGUAAUUGUUCUAAAGAAUUGAAAAAAAUAAAAUAAAAACAGCUUAGUGUUUUUUUUGUUAUAUUUCAAAAUUUGGCCAUAAAAUUAAAAAUUACAUUGGAAGUGUGGAUGCUUUUAUUUAGCAGACAAAACUAUAUAACCUCACAUUUUGUUCUCAGGGUAGCAAAGUAGAACUGGUUUGUUUAGUCAGGACUGUUGCAUAAUGAAACUUUUUCCAACAGGCUGCGAUAAUAGACUUGUUAAAAGUGUUGUAAAAACUAAACAAUGCUUUGUUUCACAAGUACUUCCCUAAAAAUAUCCAAUUAGAGGUAGUCCUUGACUUAUGAUUGAGCCCAAAAUUUCUGUUGCUAAGUGAGACAUUUGUUAACUGAGUUUGCUCCAUUUUAUGACCUUUCUUGCCACAGUUGUUAAGUGAAUCACUGUGGUUGUUAAGUUAGUAACACUGUGGUUAAGUGAAUCUGUCCUCCCCAUUGAUUUUGCUUGUCAGAAGGUUGCAAAAGGUGAUCAAAUGACCCUGGGACACUGCAACCAUCAUAAAUAUGAUGGUUUGCCAAGAUCAAUUGCCAAGGAUCCAAAUUUGAUCAUUUGACCAUGGGGAUGCUGUAACGGUUGUAAGUGUGAAAAAUGGUCAUAAGUCACUGUUUUCAGUGCCGUUUAACUUCAAACAGUCGCUAAUCAAACUGUUGUAAUUCGAGGGCUACCUGUAUUUCAUUUUUUGUCUUUGAUGUGGUACGUUUUUGUCACUGUCAGAUUCUACCUGUUUUACUACAGGUAAAUUACAGGUUGAUCUCUGCAUCUGCUUUACUAAUAAGUUCUGAUGAAUUCCUGU